rnacentral:rRNA from 1 species
AUCUAAGUACCCCGAGGAAAAGAAAUCAACCGAGAUUCCCCCAGUAGCGGCGAGCGAACGGGGAGGAGCCCAGAGCCUGAAUCAGCAUGUGUGUUAGUGGAAGCGUCUGGAAAGGCGCGCGAUACAGGGUGACAGCCCCGUACACAAAAGCGCAUGUGUUGUGAGCUCGAUGAGUAGGGCGGGACACGUGGUAUCCUGUCUGAAUAUGGGGGGACCAUCCUCCAAGGCUAAAUACUCCUGACUGACCGAUAGUGAACCAGUACCGUGAGGGAAAGGCGAAAAGAACCCCGGCGAGGGGAGUGAAAAAGAACCUGAAACCGUGUACGUACAAGCAGUGGGAGCACCCUUUGGGGUGUGACUGCGUACCUUUUGUAUAAUGGGUCAGCGACUUAUAUUCUGUAGCAAGGUUAACCGUAUAGGGGAGCCG